AUGAUGGAUGGCGCGACUCCGGUGUCCUUGGCGCUGCUCGCCGUUUUAGCUCGAUUUGGUGCCACUUUAGUACAUCAGAUGCGCGGAGCUGGACGGGAUUACAAGGAGUGGCCGCACCAGUAUCCAUUGCACUGGGACCUCGAGCACCAGUACCCAUUGCCCUGGGAUCUCGUCGUCCAAGCAAUAGUUCAGCGCGCCCACCAACGAGCCCGCUCACUCGACAUGGUGACACGGGCACAACCUGCAUCAAGGGCACCGACGCCUGGAUCAGGCCGGUGGGGAGAGAAAGGGGUAGGGGACGCCUGGAUCAGGCAGGUGGGGAGAGAAAGGGGUAGGGGAGGCUAG
rnacentral:rRNA from 1 species